GUGCCAGCAGCCGCGGUAAUACGUAGGUGGCAAGCGUUGUCCGGACUUAUUGGGCGUAAAGCGAGCGCAGGCGGUUUUUUAAGUCUGAUGUGAAAGCCUUCGGCUCAACCGAAGAAGUGCAUCGGAAACUGGGAAACUUGAGUGCAGAAGAGGACAGUGGAACUCCAUGUGUAGCGGUGAAAUGCGUAGAUAUAUGGAAGAACACCAGUGGCGAAGGCGGCUGUCUGGUCUGUAACUGACGCUGAGGCUCGAAAGUAUGGGUAGCAAACAGGAUUAGAUACCCUGGUAGUCCAUACCGUAAACGAUGAAUGCUAAGUGUUGGAGGGUUUCCGCCCUUCAGUGCUGCAGCUAACGCAUUAAGCAUUCCGCCUGGGGAGUACGGCCGCAAGGCUGAAACUCAAAGGAAUUGACGGGGGCCCGCACAAGCGGUGGAGCAUGUGGUUUAAUUCGAUGCAACGCGAAGAACCUUACCUGGUCUUGACAUCCACGGAAGUUUUCGGAGAUGAGAAUGUGCCUUCGGGAACCGUGAGACAGGUGCUGCAUGGCUGUCGUCAGCUCGUGUUGUGAAAUGUUGGGUUAAGUCCCGCAACGAGCGCAACCCUUAUCCUUUGUUGCCAGCGGUCCGGCCGGGAACUCAAAGGAGACUGCCAGUGACAAACCGGAGGAAGGUGGGGAUGACGUCAAAUCAUCAUGCCCCUUAUGACCUGGGCUACACACGUGCUACAAUGGAUGGUACAACGAGUUGCGAACUCGCGAGAGUAAGCUAAUCUCUUAAAGCCAUUCUCAGUUCGGAUUGUAGGCUGCAACUCGCCUACAUGAAGUCGGAAUCGCUAGUAAUCGCGGAUCAGCAUGCCGCGGUGAAUACGUUCCCGGGCCCUUGUACACACCGCCCGU
rnacentral:rRNA from 1 species